rnacentral:rRNA from 1 species
UACGUAGGCAGCGAGCGUUGUUCGGAGUUACUGGGCGUAAAGGGUGUGUAGGCGGUUCUUUAAGUUUGGUGUGAAAGCCCCGGGCUCAACCUGGGAAUUGCAUUCGAGACUGAAUAGCUAGGGUACGGUAGAGGGAAGCGGAAUUUCCGGUGUAGCGGUGAAAUGCGUAGAUAUCGGAAGGAACAUCAGUGGCGAAAGCGGCUUCCUGGACCAGUACCGACGUUCAGGCACGAAAGCGUGGGGAGCAAACAGG